rnacentral:rRNA from 1 species
UACGGGAGGCAGCAGUGGGGAAUAUUGCACAAUGGGCGCAAGCCUGAUGCAGCCAUGCCGCGUGUAUGAAGAAGGCCUUCGGGUUGUAAAGUACUUUCAGUCGUGAGGAAGGUGUUAAGGUUAAUAACCUUAGCAAUUGACGUUAGCGACAGAAGAAGCACCGGCUAACUCCGUGCCAGCAGCCGCGGUAAUACGGAGGGUGCGAGCGUUAAUCGGAAUUACUGGGCGUAAAGGGCACGCAGGCGGUUAAUUAAGUUGGAUGUGAAAUCCCCGGGCUUAACCUGGGAAUGGCAUUCAAGACUGGUUAGCUAGAGUCUUGUAGAGGGGGUAGAAUUCCGAUGUGUAGCGGUGAAAUGCGUAGAGAUGUGGAGGAAUACCGGUGGCGAAGGCGGCCCCUGGACAAAGACUGACGCUCGAUGUGCGAAAGCGUGGGGAGCAAAC